AAAAUGAUUCAGGAAAAUCAAUUAAAAACCAGUGAAGCCCAGUGAGAGCAGUGAUCAGGAGGUCUAGAAGGAGCCAUAGUAGCACUGAUCAGGGCUGCAGUGGUCGUCCUCCUACAAUGAC